GAUCUAGCAGAAAUUUAAAAUACAAAAUCUGAGGCUGUCUAAGAUCAUCAUGGCAUCCAAAUUACCUUUUUUUUUUUUCCCCAGGACAUACUCAUCUCUAUCAUUCUUGUCAGCAAGUAACCAGAAGGAAGAGAUUUAUAAAGCAGAUGUCAGAAUGUCAAAUCUGACUUCAGCUGAUUUUCUAACUGAUUUCUGUAUUCAUGCUUGUGUCCAGUAGGAUCUUGCAAAGGUCAGUGUGAGUGGAGACAAUGGUAAGAUUAAGAUCCAAGUAAGAAUCUGAAUCUGUUUUAAAUAGUAAUUCCUUCUUUGGUUUUUUUUUUGUUUUGUUUGUUUGGUUUGGGUUUUUUGUUUGUUUGUUUUUUUGGCCAUUGAAGUGCAAAGGUUAAUUUUCUUAACUUGUAGAACUAAAUUUUGAGAGUCAGGGUUUUUUAUAUUAGAACAACUUUGUUUUCUUCACCUUUGGCCAUUGCUACCUAUUUCAACUUGAACAGUUUGUACCCACACAAUUUCUUUUAUUUUUUGUUGUUUAUGGGUUUUGUGAUGUUACUCAUGGCUUAUACCCAGCCAAAUAUCAAAGCGUGUUCUCAAACAGUAUGCAUGGAUAGUUUUACAGAGGUAUCAGGUCAUCUAUGCUCUUUAUUCCUUUUUUUAUUUAGUACCCUUAGUAGCUGCAGGAUCAUUUAAUCAUUGUAUUACUACAGAUCUUUUGGCUGGGAAACUGGAAAGAUGUAGCCAGUACUCAUCCUGUUUUCCAACCUUGCCUAUUCACCUCUGGUGGUGAGAUCCAGCAGUCAUCUUCUUCUCUCACAUUUUCCUGAGCCCUGCAAUAACUGUGGAGAAAUAGUUCAGUUGUUUUUGAAGUAAAUAGAAGUUCAUAUGUUAGCCAAAAAAAAAAUAGUUUGGUAUAUUUAGCAAAAUUCAUGUAACAGCUAACAUCACCUGAGCCAAGCCACUGCUUUUGAGACAUGCCAUUUCCAUUCAGAGCUUUUAUUUAGAUGAAGACAUAACAAAAUUUUAUUUCAGCCAGACUUGAUUUUAGGUUUAAUUUGGACUGAUAGUGCAUGGCUAAUAGAUACUUGAAGUUAGAGGGCAGGUUGUCAUGUAAGUUUAUGCUCUAGUUUGUUAGUUUGUAAUGUCAAUUUUAAAGUAAUGACCAAGGGAUUAAUUUUGGAAGGGCUGGUAAAGCCUUAUUUUGUUGAGAUAAUUGAUAACCUGAUAACUGAUAACCUGAUAACUACAAUUCCCAUUGCAGGUUUCAGGUUUUGAUUGUUUAUAGCCUUGUAAAUAUUUCACAGUUGGAGCAAGAAUAUCCCACACUAGUUCUCUGCCUCAGUUGGUGCUUGAUUAGGUGUCAGGCAUUCAGAUAUUUCUGAAAUGUUCUGAAGUAUGUCUAGGGAUAAAAGGAAAAAUUAACAACCAGUACUGCCUGUGUUAACAUUCAUGAAGAAUUUUCCCCUAGCACCUCAUUUUGCAGGAAUUUGUGAGGAAGUAGUUAGUUUGUAAAUCUUUGAAUAAUUAUAUUUUGCACAUUAAUACACAAUAUACCUUUAAGAUUCUGCCUGGCACUGGAAAUUCCCUAGUCCAGGAUGGAGCAAGGGGAAAAAACUGUUCUUUGGUCUUGAACCUGGCAUCUAAACUGGGAGUCUAGCUCUUUUUUUUUUGUUGUUUUUUUUUUUUUGUUUUGGUUUGGUUUUUUGUUUUUGUUUUUUUUUUGUUUGUUUUUUUUUUGUUUUUUUGGUUUUUUGUUUUCCUAAGGCUCACUCUUGGGGACUGAAUAUCUGGGCAAAGGGAGAUCCUUCUGUGACAGCAGGGAAGAGGUGGAUAUGAGAGAAAAAUGGUAAUGGAAAAAAUAGUAGGCAAUGAGUUCACUGCACAGAGAAAAGUUAUGAACGAAGGUAAGCACAGGCAAGCUUAUUUCUGGUUGACACUGUGUGAUCAACUGUAUCAGUCAGAAACUCUACUUAACCCCAAGUUUCAUCAAAAAAUCAGGUAAUCAUAGAAGAGUUUUAGAUGGGAAGGAACUGUUGGAGACCAUUUGGUCCAACCUCCCUGCUAAAAGUGGAUCCAACUGUGAAGUCAGAUCAGGUUUCUCAGGGUCUUACCUAGUUCCAGCCUCUCUGAGCAACGCUUUGCCAUGUCCACUUCAGCUUGUCCAUAGUGAGGAAACUCUGAGCCUCUUUCUCAGGCAGACAUAACUGACAGGCUGUCUCCUGAGUGGAAAACCUCUGAAUCACUCAAUGCUGCCUAGUAACAUUGGGUAAAAUUGUUAAUUUCAGUGUAAAUAUUGGCAGUGGAUGGCAGCUUUUUGACAGUGAUUUUCUAUGAGACUUGUAUAAAGUGAGGUGUACAGGUAGCCUGCAGCAUCUGUCUGGAGUUACAGAGAUCUCUGCUGUAUUUCCCUCACUUUUGCUGCAUCCAGAAAUGUACUUUUUCCUCUGUCUUCUGUCCUUUUCCCUGGUUUACCUGUUUCUAAUCUAGUGGGAAUCUUACUGGAAACUAAGCUUUUAUUCAACUAAGCCUGUCUCUAUAUGAGCCACCACCUGCUCCUGAUGGACACCCCACUCAGCCUGAAGAUUUAACUCGGCAGAACUCAAGGUUCUCAGGGAAAUAAACUUUACAAUUUAUCCUGACA
ensembl:lncRNA